rnacentral:tRNA from 1 species
GGAUCAUUAGCGCAGAGGUAGAGCAGUCAGUUUUCAACUGACAUGUCGCAGGUUCGAAUCCUGUAUGAUCCA